AUUGGUUGUAAUGGGCAGAAGUUGAACUGCAGUUUCCAGUGAGACACUGUGACUCCACCACAACUGAAACAACAGGUCACUCUUAUCUGGGUCGCUGUUUAGUCUCAUGAAAAACUACUUAAGCUCAACUCAGAUGAUUCUCAGAAUGUUUGCUGCAGAUCUUCUUGUAUUCAGCUCUAUUCUAUCUGCUGUUUGGUGUCAGCCAGUUAUGAAAGUAUCGGUCCCCAAAACCCUGAGCAGCACCAGCGGCUCUUGCCUUCUGAUCCCCUGCCUAUUCAACAUUUCAAAGGAAAGGGAACACAUUCUUGACAGUUCACCAGAAGUAACAUGGAGACAAGGAUCUCUGUGGUCACUCUACGAUAAACCUGAUUUUAUCAGCGUUCGCCGUCAGAAGGAACCUGUGAUUGAAGUGGUGGGUGACCUACGAAAGAAGAACUGCACUUCUGUCAUGAGAAACCUCAGCAGCCAGCAUUCAGAUCGUUACUUCUUCAGGAUUCAAUCUAAGAACUUCACUAUGACUGACACAAAAGCUGUGCGCAUAAAUGUGUCAGAUUCCUUGGCUGAGCCGAAUGUAACUGUGCCGGUGCUCAGGGAGGGUGAGAAAGUAAAUAUGACCUGCACUGCUCCAGCUCCCUGCCCCAGUCACCCUCCAAAUAUAAAAUGGGAUCCUGCAUUAGGUGGUGACAUAUCACAGAGGACACAGAUGAACGCUGAUGGGACUCAGAGUGUUUCUGCCAUCUUGAAUUUUGUCCCGUCGUUCCACCAUCAUGAGCUGAAAGUGAACUGUGUUUCCAUUCAUCCUCUACACAGAGAGGACAAGCCCCUGCUCAGCCACAAGACCGUCAUCCUCAGUGUGGAGUAUCCUCCUAAGAAAACAUGGAUCUCUCUCACAGGCUUGGUCUGGCUUGGUAAUAAUAUGACCCUCACCUGUCAAAGUAAUGCCAACCCUCCUGCGGUCCACAGGUGGUUCAUGAAGAGAGCAGGUGUAGAGGAAGAACUGGGCGUCUCGCAUGUGCUUUCCUUCACUGCGGCCCAUGAGAACACUGGGGAAUAUAUUUGUGAGGCACAGAAUCCAUACGGUGCAAUGAACUCCACAAACCUACAGAUCACUGUCCCAGAUCAUUGUAAAAAUGAUAAUGGAGGUAAGAGAUGCCCAGGUGGUGAUAAAUAGAUACUGAAGAGUAAAGGACCCAAUACUGAGGCCUGAGGAACACCAGUGAAUAUGAAACUUAUUUCAGACCUGUAACCACCCAAAUGAACCGCAAUCGUCAGUAAACUUAAAUUUAAACAAGUUUAAGGCUGUCCCGAAAAAGCAAGACAAGUAAGUAAAAGACUAUGAUCAACAGUAUCAAAAAUGAAGGAGGACAGAAAUGAAGCCAUAAUCAGAUGCCAUCAGCAAGUCUUUGGUAACUUUGACCAAGGCCGUUCCUGUACAGUGAAAUUUAUGAACACCUGACUAAAGGGGUUCAAGGUGGUUAUACAAGCAAGAGGAAAUGAUGGUGUGGUAAUUGUUAAUAGUUUCCAGGUCAGCUACAGUAACAAUUUUUAAUGCUACUUCUUUGUUUUUGCAGGCAUAUCCUUCACUGCUUUCCUCUCAAUUUUGGCAGUUUUAUUAUUGCUUGUAUUUGCACUUCUUAUUCUUAUGAUUUACAGAAGGUAUAAAGAACCAAUCAGAAGUGAAACAAGCCAAGAUCAGAACAUUUAUGCCAAUGUGUC